UACGAAGGGUGCAAGCGUUACUCGGAAUCACUGGGCGUAAAGCGUGCGUAGGCGGUUCGUUAAGUCUGUUGUGAAAGCCCUGGGCUCAACCUGGGAACUGCAGUGGAUACUGGCGAGCUAGAGUACGGUAGAGGAAGGUGGAAUUCCCGGUGUAGCGGUGAAAUGCGUAGAGAUCGGGCGGAACACCAGCGGCGAAGGCGGCAUCCUGGUCCUGUUCUGACGCUGAGGCGCGAGAGCGUGGGGAGCGAACUGG
rnacentral:rRNA from 1 species